CUUCCCUCCUUUUCCCCUUUUUUGGUAGAACCUUCCCCCUCUUUUAUCCCAAAAACUACCCCAACUUCAGCAGUUCAGCCAAAGCUACCCGACCGAUCCUCAACCUCGUCUCAAUCCAAAACUAGGGCUUGAAAGAAACUUGGAAGCUCAAAGAUGUCCACACUAUAUACAUGGGACUCAAUAUAGUUUUUGCGUUCUCUUCCUAGCAGACAAUGUUUUGAGAAGUUCAUUUUUGGCGGCUAGUGUUGCAAAGUCUUCCCAAUGCAGGCCAAGCUUGUUCAAGCAUUCCGUGGAGACUUUGUUCUUUACGAAGGUAAUGUUCAUGUUACAUGUUUAUUCGCCUUGAUGUAAUCUUGUCUUAUAUGUUCCAGAUAUUCAAAGCCUCGUGUUUUAAGAAAUGGACUUUCAGAUUUUCAUCUCUUUUUCAUCUACCACACGACGUAAAUCAUCAAAAUGUCAAAUUAGUUUUGUUUAAAAAAAAAAAUAAUCUUGUCUUGUAUAUACAACAUGUUUAUUAGGACUUCAAAAGGUAUAACUCAAACUAAACCAGAACCUUGUUUACAUUAGGGCAUUCGUACCAGCUUAAAUAGGUAAUAUACCCUCCAUCCAACUGAAGAACUUGAGAAUCAAUGUGUGCCCAUUUAGAUUUAAAUUUAAGACUGUCUGAAAGAAAUAAAUGAGAUUAUAGCAGAUGAUUUAUGUUGGUGUUAAACAUGGAGAUGUAUGGGCUCCUUCAUUUCUACGAAGUAAGAUCAAGAUCAUUAGUAUAUUAUCCCAUGUCCAAUCCGUGUUUGUUAACACUAAUAGACUCAUAUGAAGUCAGAAAAUAGUGCAAAACUAGUUUAGCGCUUAAGAGAGUUGUUUCCGUCCCUUUAAAUGCAUUCUUGUUAUAUUAUGUUCUCCAUCUAUGUUUCCAAUUUUCUUAGUAAUUUUUUUAUGCUUUCAUCAUUUCUUUUUCUUAUUUUUAAUUUUCUUCCUUCAUCUAUAAUGGAUUUGAUUAGUUAAGAAAGAAAGUUCAAAUCAGUGCAGCAUAAAAGCUAAAAUUAACUUGAAGAUCAUCUAAUUUAGAUCUAAUAGGUAUUCAAUACUUUUUACCCCUCAUUCAUCAUUACGUUAGCAGUGUUAAAUUUCUUUUCUCUGUUGAUUAUUAGUACUAGUUUACAUUAUUGGCAGUCAUAAUGCAAAUUCAAAUGCUGCCGAUAAGUCAGACACUAACUUCAUAGCAAGUUCCCCUAGAGGUAAUUUUUUUGUUUCCCUUUUAUCAAUUUAGUAUCCGUCAUUUAUUUGAAUAGUAAUAAAUAACACAAAGAAGUGUUGGAAAUAUAAAUCAUCGUCAAAUUUAAAUUUGUAUAUGUGUUUCUAUGACAGGUAUUUAAAGGUCAAACUACCCCCUUGAACUUAAAGACUCCUGAGUUUAUAUUACUAUUACUUUCUGGUCUGUUAUGUCUUGUGGAAUGACUUAUAUUUCUUCCUUAUUUAUUUAGUUGCUCUCUUUUCCUUUUCUUUUUUCCACUUUAAUGGGGUUUGAUAUAUCUUUUUGGAUAAUCAGUAGGAACAUGUGAUAGUUCAUGUAUAUAGAUUCCUUAGAAACUAGUAAGCAUAAAGAUAUUUGAGCUCUGUAGAACUUUAUUUUUGAGAUUUGGUAGAUUUUGUUUUGAUAUAAUAACUAAUUACCUUAAUCUUGUCUGCAGGGUACAUUUACAAAUAAAAAAUAAAAAAUGAGGUGAAUGCGAUUUGUACGCCAAAGAAUGAAGUUGGAGUUGAAGUCGAGGAGGUAGAUGCGGAAUGCAAGUGACAAUAAAUGGAGAAAAUGGUUGUAGUUUUCCUUUGGACCAACCUUGAGAUAACGGUGUUUAAUCUUAUUGUCUUUUUGGUUGAAAGUAUAUUUUAUCUCAUUUGUAAACAUGUACUUCAUCCUUUUAACAUAUAUAACAAUUAUUAAUGAUUUGUUGGAUGUUG